GCGGUUAAUUGGACUCAACGACCGGGCAGCUCACCGGAUAAGACAGCUGGAUGAUAGCCGGGCUGAAGACUCUGCUUGACUAGCUGAGAGGAGGUGCAUGGCCGUCGUCAGUUCGUACUGUGAAGCAUCCUGUUAAGUCAGGCAACGAGCGAGACCCACGCCAACAGUUGCCAGCAUGUCCUCCGGGAUGAUGGGGACACUGUUGGGACCGCCUCUGCUAAAGAGGAGGAAGGAAUGGGCAACGGUAGGUCAGCAUGCCCCGAAUUAUCCGGGCUACACGCGGGCUACAAUGGUCAGGACAAUGGGUAUCGACACCGAGAGGUGGAGGCAAUCUCCUAAACCUGUCCUUAGUUCGGAUUGUGGGCUGCAACUCGCCCACAUGAAGCUGGAAUCCGUAGUAAUCGCGUUUCAAAAUAGCGCGGUGAAUAUGUCCCUGCUCCUU
rnacentral:rRNA from 1 species